rnacentral:lncRNA from 1 species
GGAAGCACCACUCGGUAACUCCAUAACACAUCACGGAGGACCGUUCCUCCAACUGAUCGCGCCGCUUUCCCGUUGCAGCUCUGCUGACGGAGGCUCCCACCGCCCCGGCAGAAGGAGCCCCGCUCUGCGGAGCAGAGGAAGCAUCUGUAAUCCACAGCUGCGGGUGCUCCAGCCCCGAGUCCUGAUAAAAUCUACACCUAUGCUUCUGCAUGAAUGAAAACAGGCUGCUGGACCUGACCGAAAUGCAGCCCGUGUUGGUGAAGUUUUGUGGGUGCCAUCGCCCUCCUUCCUGUUGUGCACCCCAGCGCCUGCUCUGCUCACAUCUCCAUCACACCUCGCACACCAUUUGCCCCAGUCAAGGGACACCCCAGUCAAGUGGCAUCCCCAGCUGCCCCACAACAUGGAGGCAGAGACCCCCCAGCUGCUCGCUGGAGGUUCAGCCUCUUGGCCAAAGAGUGAAGCACUUUCUCUGCCAAGUUCCCUUCUCUCAGGGUGCACAUGCACCCAAAGCAGCACUGUACUGACCUCCCUCCCCAUGCUCACCUCACUGUGCCACCCACCCUGCAGAGUGAAGCCAGCAGUACAUACUGUUCAUACAACGUUUUCAGACCACUUCAGCUCCCCUUCUCAAUCUCUGUGGAAGAGCCGUGCAACAGUUUAAGUUGGGACUUGGCAAAGCAAUGUUGCAGCUGCAGAGGAUGCACGAUGCUUAGCAGAAGUGACCUGUGACGUGGGCUCUGCUAGGUUUCACACCUGGAGCAGCACAGGUAGCAACCUGAGGCUUGCAGACGCCACUGGCAUCUGAUGCUUGUGGGUUUGUUUCAAAAAUCAUACUCUGAAUUCCGAUAGAGCUCUGCCUUCCUUCCCUGCUGCUGUGAGUGGAUGCUCCAACACAGAAGGCUGC